UACGGAGGGUGCAAGCGUUAAUCGGAAUUACUGGGCGUAAAGCGCACGCAGGUGGCUGAGAUAGUCGAUUGUGAAAGCCCUGGGCUUAACCUGGGAAUUGCAUUCGAUACUACUCGGCUAGAGUAUGAGAGAGGGCAGUGGAAUUCCCGGUGUAGCGGUGAAAUGCGUAGAUAUCAGGAGGAAUACCAGUGGCGAAGGCGGCUUUCUGGGCCUACCCUGACGCUGAGGAGCGAAAGCGUGGGGAGCAAACCGG
rnacentral:rRNA from 1 species